GGAUCUGGGGUCGGGUCCUCAGUCCCCACCUACAAGGGGAAAGCUUUGUGAGUGGUUAAGCAGUGCUGCCAAGUGUCUCUCUGUCUCUCUCCUUUCUCUACCACCCCUUUCCUCUUGAUUUCUGGCUGUCUCUAUCCAAUAAAUAAAUAAAAAUAAUUUUUAAAAAUGUUCAAUCUAAGGACCUAAGAGUGGCGCAAAGCACAAGGACCGGCAUAAGGAUCCCGGUUCGAACCCCGGCUCCCCACCUGCAGGGGAGUCGCUUCACAGGCGGUGAAGCAGGUCUGCAGGUGUCUAUCUUUCUCUCCUCCUCUCUGUCUUCCCCUCCUCUCUCCAUUUCUCUCUGUCCUAUCCAACAACAACAACAACAAUAAUAACUACAACAAUAAAACAACAAGGGCAACAAAAGGGAAUAAAUAAAUAAAA